rnacentral:tRNA from 1 species
CAGAGAAUAGUUUAUUAAAAAUAUUAAUUUUGGAGAUUAAUGAUAGGAUUUUUCUUUUCUCUGA